rnacentral:rRNA from 1 species
AUGAACGCUGGCGGCGUGCCUAAUACAUGCAAGUCGAGCGAACGGACGAGAAGCUUGCUUCUCUGAUGUUAGCGGCGGACGGGUGAGUAACACGUGGAUAACCUACCUAUAAGACUGGGAUAACUUCGGGAAACCGUAGCUAAUACCGGAUAAUAUUUUGAACCGCAUGGUUCAAAAGUGAAAGACGGUCUUGCUGUCACUUAUAGAUGGAUCCGCGCUGCAUUAGCUAGUUGGUAAGGUAACGGCUUACCAAGGCAACGAUGCAUAGCCGACCUGAGAGGGUGAUCGGCCACACUGGAACUGAGACACGGUCCAGACUCCUACGGGAGGCAGCAGUAGGGAAUCUUCCGCAAUGGGCGAAAGCCUGACGGAGCAACGCCGCGUGAGUGAUGAAGGUCUUCGGAUCGUAAAACUCUGUUAUUAGGGAAGAAUAUAUGUGUAAGCAACUGUGCACAUCUUGACGGUACCUAAUCAGAAAGCCACGGCUAACUACGUG